UACGAAGGGGGCUAGCGUUGCUCGGAAUCACUGGGCGUAAAGGGUGCGUAGGCGGGUCUUUAAGUCAGGGGUGAAAUCCUGGAGCUCAACUCCAGAACUGCCUUUGAUACUGAGGAUCUUGAGUUCGGGAGAGGUGAGUGGAACUGCGAGUGUAGAGGUGAAAUUCGUAGAUAUUCGCAAGAACACCAGUGGCGAAGGCGACUCACUGGCCCGAUACUGACGCUGAGGCUCGAAAGCGUGGGGAGCAAACAGG
rnacentral:rRNA from 1 species